rnacentral:rRNA from 1 species
CCUACGGGAGGCAGCAGUGAGGAAUAUUGGUCAAUGGCCGGAAGGCUGAACCAGCCAUGCCGCGUGAAGGUCAGUGCCCUAUGGGCGUUAAACUUCUUUUGUGCGGGAGCAAUAAUGGUCACGUGUGGCCAGACGAGAGUACCGUACGAAUAAGCAUCGGCUAACUCCGUGCCAGCAGCCGCGGUAAUACGGGGGAUGCAAGCGUUUUCCGGAUUUAUUGGGUGUAAAGGGUGCGUAGGCUGGGAGGUAAGUCAGCGGUGAAAUGCCCCCGCUCAACGGGGUGAAGUGCCAUUGAUACUGCCUGGCUGGAAUGCGGAUGCCGUGGGAGGAAUGUGUGGUGUAGCGGUGAAAUGCAUAGAUAUCACACAGAACACCGAUUGCGAAGGCAUCUCACGAAUCCGCGAUUGACGCUGAUGCACGAAAGCGUGGGUAUCAAACAGGAUUAGAUACCCUAGUAGUC